rnacentral:rRNA from 1 species
UACGUAGGGUGCAAGCGUUGUUCGGAAUUACUGGGCGUAAAGGGCGCGUAGGCGGGCUCGUAUGUCGAUUGUGAAAGCCCUGGGCUUAACCCGGGAAUGGCAGUCGAAACUGCGAGUCUUGAAUGCUUGAGAGGAUGGCGGAAUUCCCGGUGUAGAAGUGAAAUUCGUAGAUAUCGGGAAGAACACCUGAGGCGAAGGCGGCUAUCUGGCGAUGCAUUGACGCUGAGGAACGAAAGCGUGGGGAGCAAACAGG